rnacentral:rRNA from 1 species
CGGACGGGUGAGUAAUGUCUGGGAAACUGCCCGAUGGAGGGGGAUAACUACUGGAGACGGUAGCUAAUACCGCAUAACGUCGCAAGACCAAAGAGGGGACCUUCGGGCCUCUUGCCAUCGGAUGUGCCCAGAUGGGAUUAGCUAGUAGGUGGGGUAACGGCUCACCUAGGCGACGAUCCCUAGCUGGUCUGAGAGGAUGACCAGCCACACUGGAACUGAGACACGGUCCAG